rnacentral:rRNA from 1 species
CCAGACUCCUACGGGAGGCAGCAGUGAGGAAUAUUGGUCAAUGGGCUUACGCCUGAACCAGCCAAGUCGCGUGAGGGAAGACUGCCCUAUGGGUUGUAAACCUCUUUUGUCAGGGAGCAACGCCGGCUACGUGUAGCCGGACUGAGAGUACCUGAAGAAAAAGCAUCGGCUAACUCCGUGCCAGCAGCCGCGGUAAUACGGAGGAUGCGAGCGUUAUCCGGAUUUAUUGGGUUUAAAGGGUGCGUAGGCGGGCUGUAAAGACAGCGGAAAAAGCCGGGGCCACAACCCCGGGGAGCCGUUGAAACUGGCUGUCUUGAGAUGUCGAGAGGUAUGCGGAAUGCGCAGUGUAGCGGUGAAAUGCAUAGAUAUCACGAAGAACUCCGAUUGCGAAGGCAGCAUACCGGCGCUCAACUGACGCUCAUGCACGAAAGUGUGGGUAUCGAACAGGAUUAGAUACCCGCGUA